GGGUUUGGAGGGCAGAAAUUCAUGGAAGAUAUGAUGCCAAAGGUUCACUGGUUGAGGACCCAGUUCCCAUCUUUGGAUAUAGAGGUCGAUGGUGGAGUAGGUCCUGACACUGUCCAUAAAUGUGCAGAGGCAGGAGCUAACAUGAUUGUGUCUGGCAGUGCUAUUAUGAGGAGUGAAGACCCCAGAUCUGUGAUCAAUCUAUUAAGAAAUGUUUGCUCAGAAGCUGCUCAGAAACGUUCUCUUGAUCGGUGAAACCAUAAGGAGCCCAGUGUUCCUGUUCAUGAAAUCUCCCUUUUACUGGAAAACAGGAAUAUUGACUACCAAAUCACAAUGCAAUUGAAGCCGUACUGCUUUUUUGAGCAGUUAUUCAUUCCAGUGAUUAAAACUGAUUGUGCAGAAUAUUCUAAGAGGUCAGAAAUUGGUGUGUAUAACUACAUUUUUAGUGAUGCAAUUUAUUGAUUAGUGAGUAAGAUACUGUUUUUAUUGAGAGAUUUGAUUUUUAUAAAGUAAAAAUACGGCUGCAUUAGGGUUACAAACAGAAAAGUGUCUUAAUGUCUAAGGAGGGCAUAUUAGCUACACUACAAAAACAAAUUUUGUCUGUACUUCUGAAAAGAAUUUUGUUGUUUCUCAGCUGUUUUCCAAAAGCAAAGGAAGUCUUUAUGGUUUUUUUCUAUUUCAUGUUAUUGUGAUUUGUUUAUAAGUUUGGGUGGGGUGCAUACCAUAUUCUUGGUUCUUAAAAUCUAUCACUUUUCACCUUACACUUGAUGUGUGAAAACUAUAAAAACAAUGUGUGAAACCCAGGGGUUCUAAAAUACAAGCAUAGAUUUUAUCAGGGUGUUUUGUCAAAGCAGGUUAUUCAGUGAUUCCUCCCCACCAUUCUUAAGAACGUUAAAUAAUGCUGUUGUGUUAGCUCUGAGUAGAAAGGAAAAAGUAAAACCUCUGUUUGGAGGUAAUAUUGGGUUGAAUUCUGACUGCCCCUUUCUAGCUGGACCUUUAACAAAUCACCCAAUCUUUUUUGUGUUUCUCUAAAGUCAUUUAUACAUUAAAUGUAAUUAUAGCAACUGUGGGGUUCUGUUGAGAAUUAAGAGCUAACACUAUAUAUGUAAAGUUUCCAGUACUAGUCCCAGAAUUUAGAAUAUGCUCAACACAAAGUAAACAGCAUUAUAUAAGUUUAUAUUUUUGUGAGUUAUAAAGUACUUUGAUAUAUUCUCAUUAAAUCUGUAAAUCACCUCUAUAAGUAAGUGGUAAUAAUAAAGCAGAUAUUUUUGUCCCCAUUUAAAAAAUGAAGAAAUUAAUGCUUAAUAGGGUGGUACCCUGGAAAGGAUCUGGGAAGUGGUAGAAUUUCUGGUCUGUACUUUUACAAAUGGAGCCCUUGGGAGGUGGGUUAGGUAAAAGAAGCUUUUUACUUAACGUUGUCUUAUUUCCAGUCUAAUUUUACGCUGUAGCAGAACCAGAUGGCUGAGAAAAUUCUGGAACUAUGGAUCUUGACCCCAAGGAUAUAUUAUUUUAUUCCAAGAAAGAUCAGGUAGGCGAAAAGAUGACAGGAUACAGAGUCAAUCCAUAAACUAAAUAUUUAUAACUGUUCUGAAUUAUACAGAGUCUAAAAAUAUGUGUCAGCUACUUCAUUCCUGUAAAUACUCUUGCUGUGUUAUAAAUAUGGCAAGAAAUAAACAUGACCAAUAUCAAUAGACUUCUUGAGGCUACUAUAAGUUUUGAGAAAUAAGGUUC
rnacentral:lncRNA from 10 species